ACUCUUGCCCAGGUAGUCAUGGUUCCUAAUGCGGGGCUCUGCUCUGCCACUCAGUGGAUGCCCUUGACCCCUCCCCCCGCCGUGGCUUUUCCCAGAGCCCAUCCUCACACCUGCCUGAGCCCCUUUUCCGAGGGCACCUGUUUCCUGCCAGGACCUGGGCUGUGGUCCAUGAUCCCUCACUUCCUAUUGCGCAUUUGGAUGUGCUGUUGAGGGUCCUACGCCUACUCUUAACUUCUGCCUACAAUCAAACCCAAAGGUUAAAAGCUUUGAACUUUUCCUACUCUCAAAAUUGUACCAGCUAUUCAUAUAUUCGUCAGCCCAGUUUUUGGCAAAGGUGAUUUAAAUUUGCUGUUUAAAAGGUUUAAAGAAAAAGAUGAAAAUUGGAUUAUUGAAGAGGAAGAGUGUGAUGAUUAAUAUUGAAUGUCAACUUGUUUGGAUCGAAGGAUGCAGUACUGUUCCUAGGUGUGUCUGUGAGGGUGUGGCCUAAGGAGAUUAACAUUUGAGUCAGUGGACUGGGAGAAGCAGACCGACCCUCAGUCUGGGCGGGCACCAUCUAAUCAGCUGCCAGCGUGACUAGGAUAAAGCAGACAGAAGUUGGAAAGAGCAGACUGGCUGUGUCUUCCAGCCUCCGUCUUUCUCCUGUGCUGGAUGCUUCCUGCCCUCGAACAUGGGACUGCAAGUUCUUCAGCUUUUGGACUCUUGGACUUAUACCGCUGGUUUGUCAGGGACUCUCAGGCCUUUGGCCACAGACUGAAGGCUGCACUGUUGGCUUCCCUACUGUUGAGGUUUUGGGGCUCCGACUGGCUUCCCUGCUCCUCAGCGUGCAGAUGGUCUAUUGUGGGACUUCACCUCGUGAUCGUGUGAGUCAGUUCUCCUUAAUAAACUCCCCGUCAUGUAUACAUCUA
rnacentral:lncRNA from 1 species